UACAGAGGGGGCAAGCGUUGUUCGGAAUUACUGGGCAUAAAGCGCACGUAGGUGGUCCGCUAAGUCGGAUGUGAAAUUCCCCGGCUCAACCGGGGAACGGCAAUCGAUACUGGCGGGCUUGAGGUCCGGAGGGGUGAGUGGAACUCCUGGUGGAGCGGUGAAAUGCGUAGAUAUCAGGAGGAACACCAGUGGCGAAAGCGGCUCACUGGCCGGAAUCUGACACUGAGGUGCGAAAGCUAGGGUAGCAAACGGG
rnacentral:rRNA from 1 species